rnacentral:tRNA from 1 species
GGUUGUAGCUCAGUGGUAGAGCACUUGCCUAGCAUGUGUGAGAAAUUGGGUUCAAUUCUCAGCACCG